rnacentral:rRNA from 1 species
GACGAACGCUGGCGGCGUGCUUAACACAUGCAAGUCGAACGGAAAGGCCUCUUUCGGGGGGUACUCGAGUGGCGAACGGGUGAGUAACACGUGAGUAACCUGCCCUUGACUUUGGGAUAACUUCAGGAAACUGGGGCUAAUACCGGAUAGGAGCUCCUGCUGCAUGGUGGGGGUUGGAAAGUUUCGGCGGUUGGGGAUGGACUCGCGGCUUAUCAGCUUGUUGGUGGGGUAGUGGCUUACCAAGGCUUUGACGGGUAGCCGGCCUGAGAGGGUGACCGGCCACAUUGGGACUGAGAUACGGCCCAGACUCCUACGGGAGGCAGCAGUGGGGAAUAUUGCACAAUGGGUGGAAGCCUGAUGCAGCAACGCCGUGUGCGGGAUGACGGCCUUCGGGUUGUAAACCGCUUUCGCUCAUGACGAAGCUUUGUGUGACGGUAGUGGGUAAAGAAACACCGGCGAACUACGU